rnacentral:rRNA from 1 species
GACGAACGCUGGCGGCGUGCUUAACACAUGCAAGUCGAACGGAAAGGCCCUGCUUUUGUGGGGGGCUCGAGUGGCGAACGGGUGAGUAACACGUGAGUAACCUGCCCUUGACUUUGGGAUAACUUCAGGAAACUGGGGCUAAUACCGCAUAGGAGCUCCUGCUGCAUGUUGGGGGUUGGAAAGUUUCGGCGGUUGGGGAUGGACUCGCGGCUUAUCAGCUUGUUGGUGGGGUAGUGGCUUACCAAGGCUUUGACGGGUAGCCGGCCUGAGAGGGUGACCAGCCACAUUGGUACUGAGAUACGGCCCAGUAUCCUACGGGAGGCAGCAGUGGAGAAUAUUGCACAAUGGGCGGAAGCCUGAUGCAGCAACGCCGCGUGCGGGAUGACGGCCUUCGGGUUGUAAACCGCUUUCGCCUGUGACGAAGCGUGAGUGACGGUAAUGGGUAAAGAAGCACCGGCUAACUACGUG